AUUGAACGCUGGCGGCAUGCCUUACACAUGCAAGUCGAACGGCAGCGCGGGGCAACCUGGCGGCGAGUGGCGAACGGGUGAGUAAUAUAUCGGAACAUACCCUAGAGUGGGGGAUAACGUAGCGAAAGUUACGCUAAUACCGCAUACGCACUAAGGUGGAAAGUGGGGGAUCUUCGGACCUCAUGCUCAUGGAGUGGCCGAUAUCUGAUUAGCUAGUUGGUGAGGUAAAGGCUCACCAAGGCGGCGAUCAGUAGCUGGUUUGAGAGAACGACCAGCCACACUAGGACUGAGACACGGUCCAGACUCCUACGGGAGGCAGCAGUGGGGAAUUUUGGACAAUGGGGGGCAACCCUGAUCCAGCAAUGCCGCGUGAGUGAAGAAGGCCUCGGGUUG
rnacentral:rRNA from 1 species